rnacentral:rRNA from 1 species
AUUGAACGCUAGCGGGAUGCUUUACACAUGCAAGUCGAACGGCAGCGCGGACUUCGGUCUGGCGGCGAGUGGCGAACGGGUGAGUAAUGUAUCGGAACGUGCCCAGUAGCGGGGGAUAACUACGCGAAAGCGUAGCUAAUACCGCAUACGCCCUACGGGGGAAAGCAGGGGAUCGUAAGACCUUGCACUAUUGGAGCGGCCGAUAUCGGAUUAGCUAGUUGGUGAGGUAACGGCUCACCAAGGCGACGAUCCGUAGCUGGUUUGAGAGGACGACCAGCCACACUGGGACUGAGACACGGCCCAGACUCCUACGGGAGGCAGCAGUGGGGAAUUUUGGACAAUGGUGGCAACCCUGAUCCAGCCAUCCCGCGUGUGCGAUGAAGGCCUUCGGGUUGUAAAGCACUUUUGGCAGGAAAGAAACGUCGCGGGCUAAUACCCCGUGGAACUGACGGUACCUGCAGAAUAAGCACCGGCUAACUACGUG